GUGGGGAAUAUUGGACAAUGGGUGCAAGCCUGAUCCAGCCAUGCCGCGUGAGUGAUGAAGGCCCUAGGGUUGUAAAGCUCUUUCACCGGUGAAGAUAAUGACGGUAACCGGAGAAGAAGCCCCGGCUAACUUCGUGCCAGCAGCCGCGGUAAUACGAAGGGGGCUAGCGUUGUUCGGAAUUACUGGGCGUAAAGCGCACGUAGGCGGACAUUUAAGUCAGGGGUGAAAUCCCGGGGCUCAACCCCGGAACUGCCUUUGAUACUGGGUGUCUGGAGUAUGGAAGAGGUAAGUGGAAUUCCGAGUGUAGAGGUGAAAUUCGUAGAUAUUCGGAGGAACACCAGUGGCGAAGGCGGCUUACUGGUCCAUUACUGACGCUGAGGUGCGAAAGCGUGGGGAGCAAACAGGAUUAGAUACCCGAGUAGUCC
rnacentral:rRNA from 1 species